AUCAUCACAGUGGCAACAGGUGACUGGCCAUCGUACAGUUGCUCCAUGAGUCACAGACGACACCCAAAAGUCACCAGGAGACGCUGCAUAACCUCAUCAGGUCAUCAAGACAAGAUCUGGGAUCAAUAUAAAGAAACAGAAGAUGUUGUUGUGUGGACAAACACAGUGGUUGUCAUCGUUAUGAGGCUGCUUCUCAUGAAGAUCAUCGUCUUCAAUGUUCUGAUGACCACUUACAUUGUUAUUAAGUGGUAAGAGACUUAAAUGCCAUCAGUGUAGCAUAAACCACAGAAACAUACAAACAUAAGGCAAAUGUGCAUGAGCAUGACUAAAUGUGUUUUUGAUCACCUUCAUGUUUAAUAUGUUUAAUCUAGCAUAAGAUUUGAAUGUAUUUUUUCAGAUGUUUGCAAAUGAAAGCCUUCUGAUGCACCGUGUGACCUUGAAAAGAAAACCAACCCAGAGAGGGGAACUGUUUCUUGUCUGAAGUCUGCGCAGUGAGGAUUUCUGCACUGGAAGAAGCUGAGCAUAGUCCGCCUUUGUGGUUGGCUUUAUGAUACUGGUACUGUGAGCUUUGCGUUGGAAUCUCAUGAAUUUACUGGGAAAUUAUCCACUGUCAGGAUCACAGGAGUAGCGGGUCUCAAAUGCUCCAAAUCAUUUGUCGCGCCUCUUUCAGCCUCUUUCUCAGUGACAUCCCAGGUGUUGCUGACUGUGGCAGUUGGUGUUUGUGAGGCCAAACCUGGUAUCUGAUCGAAACCUAACCUCAGACAGAUGGGUUAGUGCACAUACUGUUAUAUAUGUGUUUGUGAGAAGAUCUGUGUGUAUUCUUACUCAUCUUUUCAUUUCAUAUAUAUCUUGAAUUACUAAAAAGAUUGUAGGGAAAA